rnacentral:miRNA from 1 species
ACAGCGCAUGCAAUGUGGAC